rnacentral:misc_RNA from 1 species
GCGUGUGGAUUUAUAUUAAUAGCACUCGUAGUUUGGCUUUGUGUUGUUAUAGUGAAUGCUCAUCGGACUCUGCAACUAUUAGUUAAAAUUGAUUGAACACAGAAUGUCCAAGACGAUCAGUCUCUAUGGAUUUCCUUACGUUGAGGAUCCGAAAGACAUAAAAGACUUUCUGGAGGAAUAUACAGGAGAAGGAACCGUUUAUG